ACGACCCUACUUGAACAGGAUCUGGUACCACUGUAUCCUUGAUUUCUAAGGAGACAGGAAAUCAAGUAUGGUUGAUGAAGCAUGGCCAUUGACCAGAUGGCCUCAUGGCUGUCUGACAGACU
rnacentral:snoRNA from 1 species